UUGGAGGUAGGGCCAAUAAAUCCCAAUGGGGAAUUUUUAGUUUUGCAAUUGGAUUGAGAACAAUGUACAAAUGUUAUCGAUAAACAAUUGGAGGGCAAGUCUGGUGCCAGCAGCCGCGGUAAUUCCAGCUCCAAUAGCGUAUAUUAACGUUGUUGCAGUUAAAAAGCUCGUAGUUGAAAUGUGGGAUGAAGUAUAUAAUGAAUUUAUUAUUCAAUUAUAUAUUGAUUCCCCUCUCCAAUUUAUUAUUAUGGGUAUUAAUUUAUUUGUAAUAAGAAUUGGUCAUUUACUGUGAGAAAAUUAGAGUGUUCAAAGCAGGCAUUUGCUUGAAUAGAUUAGCAUGGAAUAAUACUAAAAGGCUUUUAUGGUCGAUUUAAUUGGUUUGUUCAUAAAAGCAAGAUUAAAAGGAACAGUUGGGGGUAUUCAUAUUCAAUAGU
rnacentral:rRNA from 1 species